AGUAGAUUGGUCUAUCUAAGCGAUGUCCCAUUUAGUGACGUGACGUCUCCAUUCCCUCCUUCAGGGAACGAGAGUUACCUUAUGCAACUGAGACAUUAUCUUGCCAAGAAAUGAACUUCCUCUUAAAGGGUGCAAACAAGAGACAAGGAAGGAGGACUGGAGCUUAUCAGAGCAAAAUACAAAAUACACAGCAAAAAAACAUUUAAAAUAAAAAAAAAGAUGACCAUAGAAAUGGCAUUUUGUAUUUACUCUAAGAAACAAAAUCACAUUAAUUUCAUAAAUGUUUUGUGAAUAGAACUGAUGUAUCAUUGGCCUUUUUGGCUGUUUCCUGUUCUUGGUUUUGUGCUGUGUUUUCUGUAAAAAAUUAGCUAACACCCCACCCCCCCCCCCCCCCCCCCCCACACACACACACACACACACAUACACAAAGAAAUUGACCACCAUGCCCUCUGAAAUUUUUUACAAUUCGACCACUGUAAACAAUAUAACAAUACACAAUAAAAAACUAAACAAAAUGAAAACAGGAAACAGGAAACACCUACAAGUUCAUGUCUAAAAGGUCAACAAGUGCUAUUAAUAAAAUAUUCUUUCUAUAAUUUAAGUGGUGUUAUCAAGACAGAUGUUACAUUAAUAAACAUUAUCUCUACAUGCAGCUCAUGUUCGGAGACCAAAACAGCAAUUACACAGAAGCAAGACAGUGUAAAAACAUUUCAUUAUUUUUGCUUGAUCUCAGUGCAAAGAUUUUGAUUCUCUUUGGAAGUUAGAAGAGAGUGUUGCAAUCAUUUUUGUGAGAGGACGUUCCUUUCCUGGAAAGGUAACACCCGGUUUAAAAAUAAAAUUUAAAAAACCUUCCUGUUAGUAGAGACUGUAUAUAAAGGCCGGAUGUGCUGCUCUUUUCAGAGCACUGAUCAGGGCUAGUGACUGACUGACGCUGCUGCAAAAACUCUACAGUCAGCUAAAUACAAACAGGUAAUAGAUACAGAGACAGUGUAACAGCAUGGCCACUGCAGCUGAAAAAGACACAGUAUGGAUCGGGUUCAUGGACAUCGUUCCGGUCAUCGGGACGGUAAAAGAGGCAGUGGAGCUGGUGCUGGCUCUGUACGAAGGGAAUAAAGCAGUGAUAAAGGAGAAAGAGAAGGCCAUUGAAAACAUUCUGAAAGAGUCAUCAGAAAUACAUGAGAAGGAAAACUAUGUGAAAAAGUUGACUCUAGCUGAUAAACCAGCAGCAGCAGCUGCAGAUGAAUUUUCUGGACUCAGAAAUGUGAGAGAGGUCAGAAAGGAAAUGGUUAUUGAGUAUAUGGCCAAAGGUUCCAAAAAGGGAACAAAACCCCCAACUUCAGCUGAGCAGAAAGAGAGACAGAAAAAAGUGGAGGCUAUUCAGAAAGACAUGUUAGAAAAGAUCCGUAUCAUCAAUCCAAACUUCAAUGAGGAGCUGAAGGAUGAACUGCGAAGGCCAAAAAGAGGGGAACAUGUCUUCAACAAUGACAUUCUUAAAUUUCAUUCCAAGGUGCUGACUGAGUUUAUACAAAGAUAUAGUAUUGCUAAUCGACGAGGAUAUAAUCAGCAGGCAAUGAAUGAAUUAGGCAGACACACACUUCCCCAAAACACAGCAACAGAUAUUCAGACAAACAUGGUGGUUCACUUUGGGGAGGAUGAAUUCUAUGUGAAUGUGAAUGCAGUGAUGUAUGGUGAAUAUUGCAGAGCACUGCGUGGUGCUUUGUUAGAUGUGCUGCGCCACAUAAACCCAGGUGACGUGGCAGAUGAGGAGAGACAACGGGUGAAUGAUGUCAUAGAUAAUAUGAAUAACCUUGCAAUCUAUGUGGACCAUCUGGCAAAGGUCAGGUGGAUUGGCAAUAAUGAGACUAGACGGGCCCGGUUUGAACAGGUAAGACGGGAAGUUGCGAACAUGUAUAACACAGAUCGUGGGUUUGAGUGGUGCAUUCGCAUUCUGAAUCAAGUUAGGACCUUUGUUUGA
ensembl:lncRNA